GUGUCAGCAGCCGCGGUAAGACGAACCGUGCGAACGUUAUUCGGAAUCACUGGGCUUAAAGCGCGUGUAGGCGGACGGGCACGUCGGACCCUGAAAGCCCCCGGCUCAACCGGGGAACUGGGGCCGAUACGACCCGUCUGGAGGGACGUAGGGGGACCUGGAACUUCCGGUGGAGCGGUGAAAUGCGUUGAGAUCGGAAGGAACGCCCGUGGCGAAAGCGAGGUCCUGGACGUCUGCUGACGCUGAGACGCGAAAGCCAGGGUAGCGAACGGGAUUAGAUACCCUCGUAGUCC
rnacentral:rRNA from 1 species